ensembl:snoRNA
GCCAUAAAGCAGUGAUGAAUUCCAUUCAGCACAUCUCCCUUUUCUGUUACUUAUUCUUUUGGACAUUGAACCAGGCUAUAGCAUGAUUGCAUAGAAAGUAUUUCUCUAGUCAUUUAUCUCUGAGCCAACACAA